UACAACCAGAGAUGUCACUAUUGUUGAUCUAGAUAUGGGUCGAGUUAAGUCAAGAAGGAAAAUGAUGUGUCGCCAUUAUUCACUCAGCAUAUGGAUUAGGAACACAUUGACUUUAUGUCAUAAAUGUCUUAUCUUUUCAAAAGAAUAUUGGGUGGCAGAGGAAGUCACUUUAUUAACUGCUAUGAAUGAGACUUCCAAAUGGUAAAACUAGAAAGCGGAGUAGUGCAUUAAUAUCUUCGCUGCAUCCAGGCCGAUAUCAGCUCGAUGAAGUCUGUAAACUGUGGAACACCAUCUUUCAAGAUUUCAGCUUAUUUUGAUUGCCAAAUGA